AAAGACCGCAGUUUUUAGUUUUUAUAUCCAAAAGUUUGACCGUUCGUUUUAUUUGAAGAACUUUUAUGAUUAGUAUUUUUAUUAUUAUUAGAUGAUAAAAUAAAAAUAAUAUUUUAUACGUGACUAAUUUUUUAAUUAAAUGGAUGAUCAAAUAUUAAACACGGAAACCCACAUCUGCACUAUGG
rnacentral:pre_miRNA from 1 species